rnacentral:rRNA from 1 species
UAAGGUGGCUAUAGCACGAGGGAUCCACCUCUUCCCAUUCCGAACAGAGAAGUUAAGCCUCGUCACGCCGAU